CCUAAUGUUGAUCCUUCCGUUGUCAGCUCCUAACGGAUAGUCAAUUCAAAUCACCCCUCUUUUCCCGCAUUUACUUGAAGUUAACAGCUUUCUUCUUCGUUUUCUUGAAGACGUUUUAUAUUAGAAGGAGGAGAAGACGACGACCCAGAAAAGGCGUUCAUCUGUGGCGAAGAGACAAGCAAUGGCGGCUAAUGCAUCCGGGUUGGAGAAUAAUCAGACCGGAAAAUUGAAUGCUGGAGCGGCUAAGAAACGACCGUAAUGCAGUUUGCUGUUCUGCCAUCAUCCUCCUCUGUCAGACGAAGCAGCAAACCUGUUUCUAUUCAAAGAAGUGAUGCAGUUGUGCCUAAGAUCACUGCCAUCUAUGUCAACUUCUGACACAGUGAGAAGUCUGGAGGUCGAAUGCAUAGAUGACCAUGAAUUGGCUGCAGUUCAUUCCAUCUAGAAAAAGAUAUAUGAUGUACUUGUGGACUUGGAAUAUGGGGAUAAGAUUGUCAACAUUGAUACAAACACUUGCGAGGAUCUGAGGCAAAGAAAAGGCCUUCCCACAGAUUCCAUCAAUCGGGCAUGCGCGCUAUAUGAUUUGACUU